UUUAUAUUAGUUGCAUUUUGGUGCUUUAUUCCGAGUAGGAAGAAAAACUAGUAUAAUGUUGUGAAAAAUUAAUCGUUAGUCUUUAUAACUGUUUUAUGCUAAAUAUUUCAAUUUAUUAUUUGGGCGAAGAGGUCCGAGUAUGUUAUAUACAACAAAUUUUUAUAUAAAAAAAUGGGUUAAAGUUACCCUGUUUUUGUGUUCUUGUUACAAGCCUUGUAAAAAAUAACAUGUUGUUAUCUUUAAUUAGCAUGUAAAUUUUACUCUUAGUUUUAUUUAUUAAUUGAUCAGUAAUAUUAAUAAUUAUGUUGUUUCUCUAGCGUAGCCCGUCUGUUUAUUAAAAACAUUUCCAUAUAAAAAUAUUUAUGGUAGGACCUGCUCUAUGUGUUAAUAAAUGGCCGCAGUAUCUUGACUGUGCGAAGGUAGCAUAAUUAAUUGCCCUUUAAUUGGGGGCUUGUUUGAAUGGUUUGACGCGGUUACUUGUUAACAUUAUAUUUAUAGUUGAAAUUAAUAUUGAGGGCACAGAAUCCUCUUUGCUUAAUUAGACGGAAAGACCCCGGGAUCUUUCUUUUUUGCCUGGGGCAGGUUAAAUAUUUUCAAAUUUAUUAUGACCCCCCCUUUGGGGUUUAGUGGGUUAAGUUACCCCGGGGAUAACAGUGUAAUAUUUUAUUAGAGAUCUUAUCGAAUAAAUUGCUUGCCACCUCGAUGUUGACUUAGUUUAUACCUGGGCGCAGCAGUUCA
rnacentral:rRNA from 1 species